CGUAGCGACAGAAAGUUGAAAGCAUGGGUAAUCAAGGGAGAUAAUAAAUCUGUUUGUGUUUUGUCUCGCUAUUCAUUUUUGGUGUUGUUCCCAAUUCUUCGCCGGUCACCAGUUCAGUGAUUUGACUGUGGCCAUGCUGGAGCACCACCUUGAGAAGUUUUAGUCGAACAAAUCGACCCCAGGACAUUCUUUACUCAACUGAAUGUAAUUAAUGAGAUACAACAGCAGAUCUUGAGAGGUGCCAUUGGUCAGUUUCAAAUGGCAGCA